UGGCAAAGUCGAACGAGAAAGUGGAGCAAUCCAUGAGUAAAGUGGCGCACGGGUGAGUAACACGUGACUAACCUACCCUUGAGUGGGGAAUAACCUAGGGAAACCUGGGCUAAUACCGCAUAACACCUACGGGUCAAAGGAGCAAUUCGCUUAAGGAGGGGGUCGCGGCAGAUUAGCUAGUUGGCGGGGUAAUGGCCCACCAAGGCAGUGAUCUGUAUCCGGCCUGAGAGGGCGCACGGACACACUGGAACUGAAACACGGUCCAGACUCCUACGGGAGGCAGCAGUGGGGAAUUUUGCGCAAUGGGGGAAACCCUGACGCAGCAACGCCGCGUGGAGGAUGAAGUCCCUUGGGACGUAAACUCCUUUCGACCGGGAAGAUUAUGACGGUACCGGAAGAAGAAGCCCCGGCUAACUUCGUGCCAGCAGCCGCGGUAAUACGAGGGGGGCAAGCGUUGUUCGGAAUUAUUGGGCGUAAAGGGUGCGUAGGCGGUUCGGCAAGUCUUGUGUGAAAUCUUCGGGCUCAACUCGAAGUCUGCACGAGAAACUGCCGGGCUUGAGUGUGGGAGAGGUGAGUGGAAUUUCCGGUGUAGCGGUGAAAUGCGUAGAUAUCGGAAGGAACACCUGUGGCGAAAGCGGCUCACUGGACCACAACUGACGCUGAGGCACGAAAGCUAGGGGAGCAAACAGGAUUAGAUACCCUGGUAGUCCUAGCCCUAAACGAUGAUCGCUUGGUGUGACGGGUACCCAAUCCCGCCGUGCCGAAGCU
rnacentral:rRNA from 1 species